AUGAACGCUGGCGGCGUGCCUCAUACCUGCAAGUCGAGCGCACGGACGAGAAGCUUGCUUCUCUGAUGUUAGCGGCGGACGGGUGAGUAACACGUGGAUAACCUACCUAUAAGACUGGGAUAACUUCGGGAAACCGGAGCUAAUACCGGAUAAUAUUUUGAACCGCAUGGUUCAAAAGUAAAAGACGGUCUUGCUGUCACUUAUAGAUGGAUCCGCGCUGCAUUAGCUAGUUGGUAAGGUAACGGCUUACCAAGGCAACGAUGCAUAGCCGACCUGAGAGGGUGAUCGGCCACACUGGAACUGAGACACGGUCCAGACUCCUACGGGAGGCAGCAGUAGGGAAUCUUCCGCAAUGGGCGAAAGCCUGACGGAGCAACGCCGCGUGAGUGAUGAAGGUCUUCGGAUCGUAAAACUCUGUUAUUAGGGAAGAACAUAUGUGUAAGUAACUGUGCACAUCUUGACGGUACCUAAUCAGAAAGCCACGGCUAACUACGUG
rnacentral:rRNA from 1 species